rnacentral:rRNA from 1 species
CCUACGGGGUGCAGCAGUGAGGAAUAUUGGUCAAUGGACGAGAGUCUGAACCAGCCAAGUAGCGUGAAGGAUGACUGCCCUAUGGGUUGUAAACUUCUUUUAUAUGGGAAUAAAAUGUUCCACGUGUGGGAUUUUGUAUGUACCAUAUGAAUAAGGAUCGGCUAACUCCGUGCCAGCAGCCGCGGUAAUACGGAGGAUCCGAGCGUUAUCCGGAUUUAUUGGGUUUAAAGGGAGCGUAGGUGGAUUGUUAAGUCAGUUGUGAAAGUUUGCGGCUCAACCGUAAAAUUGCAGUUGAAACUGGCAGUCUUGAGUACAGUAGAGGUGGGCGGAAUUCGUGGUGUAGCGGUGAAAUGCUUAGAUAUCACGAAGAACUCCGAUUGCGAUGGCAGUUCACUGGACUGCAACUGACACUGAGGCUCGAAAGUGUGGGUAUCAAACAGGAUUAGAUACCCUUGUAGUC